rnacentral:rRNA from 1 species
GACGUAGGGUGCAAGCGUUGUCCGGAUUUAUUGGGCGUAAAGCGCGCGCAGGCGGUUUCUUAAGUCUGAUGUGAAAGCCCACGGCUCAACCGUGGAGGGUCAUUGGAAACUGGGGAACUUGAGUGCAGAAGAGAAAAGCGGAAUUCCACGUGUAGCGGUGAAAUGCGUAGAUAUCUGGAGGAACACCGGUGGCGAAGGCGACAUCCUGGACCGGUAUUGACGCUGAGGCGCGAAAGCCAGGGGAGCAAACGGG